rnacentral:rRNA from 1 species
GAGUUUGAUCCUGGCUCAGAACGAACGCUGGCGGCGUGCCUAACACAUGCAAGUCGAACGGACUUAGCUGAGUGCUUGCACUCGGCGACAGUUAGUGGCGGACGGGUGAGUAACGCGUGAAUAACCUGCCCAACAGAGGGGGAUAACGUUUGGAAACGAACGCUAAUACCGCAUAACAUUGUGGCAUCGCAUGGUGCAACAAUCAAAGGAGCAAUCCGCUGAUGGAUGGAUUCGCGUCCGAUUAGCUAGUUGGUGAGAUAACAGCUCACCAAGGCGACGAUCGGUAGCCGGACUGAGAGGUUGAACGGCCACAUUGGGACUGAGACACGGCCCAGACUCCUACGGGAGGCAGCAGUGGGGGAUAUUGCACAAUGGGGGAAACCCUGAUGCAGCAACGCCGCGUGAGGGAAGAAGGUUUUCGGAUUGUAAACCUCUGUCCUAGGUGAAGAUAAUGACGGUAGCCUAGGAGGAAGCUCCGGCUAACUACGUGCCAGCAGCCGCGGUAAUACGUAGGGAGCGAGCGUUGUCCGGAAUUACUGGGUGUAAAGGGUGCGUAGGCGGCAAGAAAAGUCAGAUGUGAAAUGCCGGGGCUUAACCCCGGAGCUGCAUUUGAAACUUUCCUGCUUGAGUGAAGUAGAGGCAAGCGGAAUUCCCUGUGUAGCGGUGAAAUGCGUAGAGAUAGGGAGGAACACCAGUGGCGAAGGCGGCUUGCUGGGCUUCAACUGACGCUGAGGCACGAAAGCGUGGGUAGCAAACAGGAUUAGAUACCCUGGUAGUCCACGCUGUAAACGAUGAUUACUAGGUGUGGGCGCAAAAGCGUCCGUGCCGGAGUCAACACAAUAAGUAAUCCACCUGGGGAGUACGACCGCAAGGUUGAAACUCAAAGGAAUUGACGGGGGCCCGCACAAGCAGUGGAGUAUGUGGUUUAAUUCGAAGCAACGCGAAGAACCUUACCAGGUCUUGACAUCCAACUAACGAGGUAGAGAUACAUUAGGUGCUUCGGGGAAAGUUGAGACAGGUGGUGCAUGGUUGUCGUCAGCUCGUGUCGUGAGAUGUUGGGUUAAGUCCCGCAACGAGCGCAACCCUUACCUUUAGUUCUACGCAAGAGCACUCUAAAGGGACUGCCGUUGACAAAACGGAGGAAGGUGGGGAUGACGUCAAAUCAUCAUGCCCCUUAUGACCUGGGCUACACACGUACUACAAUGGCCGUAAACAGAGGGAGGCGAGACAGUGAUGUGGAGCAAACCCCGAAAAACGGUCCCAGUUCAGAUUGUAGGCUGCAACUCGCCUACAUGAAGAUGGAAUUGCUAGUAAUCGCGAAUCAGCAUGUCGCGGUGAAUACGUUCCCGGGCCUUGUACACACCGCCCGUCACACCAUGGGAGCCGGUAAUACCCGAAGUCAGUGUUCUAGCUGAAUUCAUUUGGAGGAAGCUGCCGAAGGUAGGAUUGGCGACUGGGGUGAAGUCGUAACAAGGUAACC